GGGGUUGAUUAUGGAUUUGACAAAAUAUAUGAAAACUAAUUGUGCAUGUCGAGGAUUGGUUUGCCUCGUUAAAAAACCAAAAAAUAUAACUGCAAAACAAAAUAACUACGCUUUAGCAGCUUAAAAACCUGCUGUAAAGCCCUUUCUUCUAAUUCUAUUUUAUGUUUUUGUAUAGAAAAAGAAAUGCUUAGAAAGGUCAUAUAAAAACAAAAACUAGUAUCUAAAAAUCUAUCUUGAAGAUUAGAUAUUAUAAAAUUUAUAAUCAAGAUAAUAACUUAAUAUUAUGUUUAUAGAAUAUUAAUAUAAGAAAUAAAAAAAUAAACUAAACAUGUAGAUAAUUAGUUGUAAUUAUUUUGGACGCGGGUUCGAAUCCCGCCAACUCCAAAA
rnacentral:tmRNA from 1 species